CUCAGCUAAUCUGCUUAAUCAGGACUGUGUGGUUGUGGUUUGAUUGACAGUUGCCUGGCAACAUAAGCAUGCAACAUCACAAACGUCAACAUUCCAAAUUUGAAUUACAAUAAAUUCAAUUACAAAGGUAUGUAACUACAUAGGUAAAGGCACAACCAAUCAUUCAACACGUGCAUGUGUACACAGCCACACAAAACUCACACACACCUUCCAAUACAACUGCUGCAGGUUCCCUGCUCAGAUUGAUGUGUGCGAUCAGCCAAGAUAGCCAGGAGUGCCGGCCACAUCUAUUCACUGAAUAAGUGCUAGGACAAGCUGUUUUUUCAGGAGCCAGCCGGGCAACAAUAGGCCCUCUAAUAGCUCCAGUUUGUCUCAGUUAAGAACAGCCUCCCCCCUCUUUUCCCACCACAUGCACACAUACACACACCUCUUACUUUACACCUCUCCGCCCAUUCCUGUGUUGCUCAAAUAACUCCUUAAUCUCUCUAUUUGGCUUCUUUCUCGGUUGCUGAUUGCUGUAUAAUUUUUCUCCUUUCUUCAUUUUAUCACUGGGAGAAUCUGGAGCUAAUUUACUCUACAAAUAACUGAAAACCAUCGAACAGUUCUCUGGACGACCCUGACCUCUGACCUUCCUGUGCAGGUGGCCAGCUAAAAGUAGGACGCAGCAGGCGUGAUGAGCAGAGGAGGGAAAAAUAUACCAAUUACAUGAUUCACUUGUACAGAGAGGUCGUAGCCACGUUAUGGGGGAGGAAGUUUCUACAUUGGACCUUUGGUGACUCUUAAAAAACUGCAGGCUCACACUGUUCCAGACUGAAGAACAAAAGCUACCCUUUGCUUUGCUGCAAUCUAGUAUCACCCACUGGAUAAAAAGUGAAUGCUAAAAAUGCUAACAUGCCAUUUUUCCAUUUGAGAUCAAAUGUAUACUUUUAUCCCGACAUCAUGACAAGAGCCAAGUGAAGAAAAAUACAUUUUCAAAAUGUCAGAGAUGUCACUGAAUCAUGGCUAAUGAGCCCUCUUUCACCUUCCCUCCUCUUAUUUUUACUGAAUCUAAAAUAGCCCACUCCUAGUCUGCCUUCUCUGCAAUGUUUACACAGAAAUUCACAUCAGAUCUCUGAAUGUGGAGUAAGGCAGGACACAUGGGAAAGGAUCCAACAUGGAGAGGCAGAGCGUUACAUGAUUGGACCCACUCCUUGUUUCUAGUCCAAGUCCCUUUCUUCUGGCAAUUUUGGAUUUUCAAUAGCUUAACAUGAUGUCAUCUUAAAGAGAGUUUUAAAUAUUAGGUCAUUUAUCCUGUCAAGGUGGGAAGACCUGAUAACUUUGCAAGGCUAACAGGUAUUUCAAGGUUAAAGGAAACUGGGAGCGAUGCACCUCCAUGGCCCAUGAGCACUGUAUGUAAAGGACAACUAGCCCCUGGAGUGUGGAGGGGCAUUGUUCUGUAGCAAUAAAGUGGGGCUGGAGCAGGAGAUGGAGAGAAUGACAGGAGGGAGUGAAAGAAAGAGAGAGGCAGUAAAAAAUGAAUUACCACAUGCUGGAGAAUGACAAGACAACAAACCCAGGAAUGGUGCACAAAUAAAAAGGAGGAAAAUUAAAGACAGACAAUGACAGAAAGCAAACAGGAGCAAAUAGCAAUAACUGACGCAGGAGGGGAAAUUAAACAAGAGACAUGAGGGACAAACAAGAGAGAAAGCAGGAAAAGGUUGUGGGCAAGAGGGAAGGUAGAGAUAAUAUUAGAAACAGGUCAGUGAACACCAUUCAACCCCCCCCCACCCCACCCCAUCUUCCCUUCCCUCUUUCCACCACAGGCAGUGAUACUGUCAAACCAAACUACAGCAGAUCUUCGUCUUCCCAUGCCACCUCUCCUCCGUCCUCCUGUCUUCAUUUCCUUGCCUAUCGCCCUCCUUUUUUUCCAUUUCUCUUCCAAUUUCUCCUUUCCCCACCCCAUUGUUCUCUCAACAUCAGCCUCUCCCUCAUGAGCUGUGAAUAUCAAAGAAGCUCUGUCCUGGCACUCUGCCUACACCUGCCUACCAAACUGUUUCCUCUGUGCCCAACUUCUUGCUGCCUAAGCGGCCAUGCUGCGCCAACAUGCACCGACACCAAGGUCAGACAGAACUCUUUCCCAACUACAAAUACAUUUUUUCAAUCAACUAAACGAUUAAUUGAUUAAAAUCUUUCAGAUAAAUCUAUUAAAGAUUGAGAACAACUACUUUGUGCCAUUUUGCUUGAAUGCACAUUCUGUCUGUAAAACACAAAAUGUUGAAUGUGUGCAGUGAUAUUUGUGUUUUACUGUCCUCUGGCACUGUUGCUGCCACUGCAUGAUGAUGCCAUCAUUGUAUCGAAUGUACAUUUGUCUAAAACGACGCCAGUAUGACAAACUUAUUGUCAC